rnacentral:rRNA from 1 species
CGGGACGGGUGAGUAAUGCUUGGGAAUCUGGCUUAUGGAGGGGGGUAACUACGGGAAACUGUAGCUAAUACCGCGUAAUAUCGAAAGAUUAAAGUGUGGGACCUUCGGGCCACAUGCCAUAGGAUGAGCCCAAGUGGGAUUAGGUCGUUGGUGAGGUAAAGGCUCACCAAGCCGACGAUCUCUAGCUGGUCUGAGAGGAUGACCAGCCACACUGGGACUGAGACACGGCCCAG